GAUGAACGCUGGCGGCGUGCUUAACACAUGCAAGUCGAACGAAGAUACUUAAAAUGAGAGCUUCGGCAGGAUUUUUAUUUAUCUUAGUGGCGGACGGGUGAGUAACGUGUGGGCAACCUGCCCUAUACUGGGGAAUAAUCGCUGGAAACGGUGACUAAUACCGCAUGUCAUCACGGAAGGGCAUCCUUCUGUAAGAAAAGGAGUAAUUCGGUAUAGGAUGGGCCCGCAUCUGAUUAGCUAGUUGGUGAGAUAACAGCCCACCAAGGCGACGAUCAGUAGCCGACCUGAGAGGGUGAUCGGCCACAUUGGGACUGAGACACGGCCCAAACUCCUACGGGAGGCAGCAGUGGGGAAUAUUGCACAAUGGGGGAAACCCUGAUGCAGCAACGCCGCGUGAAGGAAGAAGGUUUUCGGAUCGUAAACUUCUAUCAACAGGGACGAAGAAAGUGACGGUACCUGAAUAAGAAGCCCCGGCUAACUACGUG
rnacentral:rRNA from 1 species